GUGGGGUUGUAGCUCAGUGGUAGAGCACUUGCCUAGCAUGCAUGAGGCACUGAGUUUGAGCCCCAGCACCACA
rnacentral:tRNA from 1 species